CAGUCGCCGCGGUAACACGAAGGGGGCUAGCGUUGCUCGGAAUCACUGGGCGUAAAGGGUGCGUAGGCGGGUUUUUAAGUCAGAGGUGAAAUCCUGGAGCUCAACUCCAGAACUGCCUUUGAUACUGAAAGUCUUGAGUUCGGGAGAGGUGAGUGGAACUGCGAGUGUAGAGGUGAAAUUCGUAGAUAUUCGCAAGAACACCAGUGGCGAAGGCGGCUCACUGGCCCGAUACUGACGCUGAGGCACGAAAGCGUGGGGAGCAAACAGGAUUAGAUACCCCAGUAGUCCCUGUCUCUUUACA
rnacentral:rRNA from 1 species